rnacentral:rRNA from 1 species
CGGUGACCGUGGCAGUGUAGGUGGAAGCAGCGGUGGAGGAGGAGGAUGAGGUAGCCAUCACUGUUUUAUAUAUAUAUAUAUAUAUAUAUAUAUAUAUUUAAAAAAAUAAAUAAAUUUUGAUGGCGACUUUGCAUUCGGAUGUCAUCCAUAUCAAGUUUCGAUGCCAGUUUCUACGCCUACCAUGGUGACCACAGGUAACGGGGAAUUAGGGUUCCAUUCUGUACAGGGCCCCUGAGAAAUGGUUACCACAUGCAAGGAAGGCAGCAGGCGCGCAAAUUACCCACUCCCGGCGCGGGAAGAUAGUGACG